AGAUUGAACGCUAGCGGCAUGCCUAACACAUGCAAGUCGAACGGUAACAGGCCCUUCGGGGUGCUGACGAGUGGCGGACGGUGAGUAAUUGCGUAGGAAUCUACCCACGAGUAGGGGGAUAGUCCCGGAGAAAAUCCGGAUUUAAUACCGCAUAGUGACCCUUACGGGGUAAAGCGGGGGAUCGUAAGACCUCGCGCUGGCGGAUGAGCCUAGUCCGAUUAGUUAGUUGGUGGGUAAAGGCCUGCCAAGGCUACGAUCGGUAGCUGGUCUGAGAGGACGACCAGCCACACUGGGACUGAGACACGGCCCAGACUCCUACGGGAGGCAGGCG
rnacentral:rRNA from 1 species